rnacentral:rRNA from 1 species
AUGUCGAGCUCUAGCUCAGCGUACUCGAGCGAGAGAGAGAGAGCAGUAUCAUUUGCCCGGAGACACCAUAGCGUGAGCUUCGAUCUGGGAGUACCGAUGGGCAGAUUGCAAUACAGGGCGGAGAUUGUGGCAAAACGAAUGGAGAUUGAAAGAAAGGAUGAGACGGAAUUGGCAGCCUGCCCGGCCUCCACAGAAGAACCGUAUGAUUUGACCGAAGGAUUUGGCGAGAACGAUCCAGUCGCUUGCCUCGAUCCAGUGGAAGAGAUAGAACCUGAACCAUCUGUCGACCGACUCUUGACCGUUGUGCUGUACAAGCGGGCAUGGGCCUCAUGGGAGGACGACGGCGAGGUUGACAGCCUUGCGUGCAAGAGGCCCAAAUACUUGUAA